rnacentral:lncRNA from 1 species
CGUGAUCAGACACCUUUUGCUAGGCUAUUCGUACGGAAUUUUAAAGAUCUAGGAAUAUAAGCAAUAAAAAGUUCAGAAAAUUCUUUGGAUACAGCCUGUAUUUCGUCGAGCUCCGAGUCCAACACAGGCUAAUCUUCCUUUUUUUGAAUGAGUAUAACCAGUUGUUCACAGUCGAUUGAAAGACCAUCUCUCUGUGUCCAAACUUUAGUAUCACUUGCAUUGCCC